rnacentral:rRNA from 1 species
GUAGGUGGCAAGCGUUGUCCGGAAUUAUUGGGCGUAAAGCGCGCGCAGGCGGUUCUUUAAGUCUGAUGUGAAAGCCCACGGGCUCAACCGUGGAGGGUCAUUGGAAACUGGAGAACUCGAGUACAGAAGAGGAAAGCGGAAUUCCACGUGUAGCGGUAAAAUGCGUAGAGAUGUGGAGGAACACCAGUGGCGAAGGCGGCUUUCUGGUCUGUAACUGACGCUGAGGCGCGAAAGCGUGGGGAGCAAACAGGAUUAGAUACCCUGGUAGUCCACGCCGUAAACGAUGAGUGCUAAGUGUUAGGGGGUUUCCGCCCCUUAGUGCUGCAGCUAACGCAUUAAGCACUCCGCCUGGGGAGUACGGCCGCAAAGGCUG